AUUCAUCAUGUUACACAUACCCUAAAGUGAUAUAUUUACCCUAUUUGAUAACAUGAUAAGUAUAUUUGAAGCGCUCACUAUUUUAUUUGAACUUUAUUAUCGAGUUUAAACGAGUUUUGAAAUAUUGAAUUAAAUUGAAAUAUCCAUGUUGAUCGUUUAAGAAGCAAAUUUUUGGCAUGGGUUUAUAAAAAAUACAUCCUAGCCUCCAUCCCUAAUAAGUGCGGUGUGAAGGAGUGGGCAAUAGUUCUUUAAAAAUAAUUGAGAGAUGUGUAUAAAGUGGAUAAAAUGGCUUACUAGAGCUGAUUUGUUAGGCCUUACUUUCUCUCUGCCCCACUAAAAUAAGCUCAAUUCUUUUGAGAACAUAGAUUAAUAAACUUUCUUUUGAGAAGAAAAUUAAAGUGGUGGCAAAAGUAAUGUGGUCCAUACCAAUUAAGCAAUUUGAGUACAUUUUUUUUUUCACUCAAAAGGAAAACGAGCCUAUUCUAGCGGGACAUUCCAAAAUAGAAAACGAGCAUAUUCUGCUGGGACGAGGGAAUAAUAAAUUGUUUGUGAGAUGAGUAGUUUGUAAAUAUUGUGUGUGAAAGGUGUAUGUCUUAAAUUGAAAAGACCAUACCUGUAUUGUGAUUGUACGGAAAGGUGGAACUGAGCAUCGCGGCGGCGGCGAGGCAGGAGGCGGCGGUGGUGAGGAGAAUCGAGAGAGAGAGAGAAAGAUGCCAGCAGACAGUGACGGAGGGCAGUGGGCGGCCCUUGGCGGCAGCGGAGACGACAAGGUACUGGCUGUGCCAGAAUUAUUUAGUUGCAUAGGAUCCUUCCAAAUGUAAUUACUGAUUCACUGUUGGAUUAACAAGAAUUAAAUUACUUCAUAAUACAGUAUUCCAACUGUUCGAUAAAAGCCCUUAAUGAAAUCUUCCAUAGAUUACUUUGCAAAGUUCAUAAAAUUACUCAAAAGCAUUGUUGCAUAGUCCGUACAUAGAGAUGGUCGAUUAUCUUAAUUAUGUCUAGAUUUAUUUACGACACACACACACACACAUCACAAAAUCACACAUACUGACUAAUAAGGUUCCCGAAAGCCGGCAUUAUUAGGCGCCAUGGUGGCCGUGAAAUACCAUGAGACGAUAUCAUGGGUGGUGGGUCCGUCUAGUCUGGUGGCGGCGGAGAGCCCUACCUGAACCUGCUAAGGAAGAAAGCCGCUCAAAUCAUACUCAUAGCUGACUUCAAACGUCUUCGAGCCGGCGGUGGCACGGACGGCGAUCUACUUUGUGGAGGCGGCGUAGUUGAUCCUCGCCGUCACCUGCUGCUCGAGUAUGGAGCCGUCGACCUCCGUCGUGUUUCGGGAUGACCUAGACCCGAUGUCGAUGCCGAUGUGGGGAUAGUUCGGAUCCCACGCGCUGUUGACGUAGGUGUCGAACUCGACGGCAAAUACCGAGGGGUUGCUGCCGGAGGAGCCGAAGAUUCCGAGGUUGGCCCCGCUGGAGCCGGUGGGGAUGGUGGAGCGGCGAGAUUGGUGAUGCUGGGUGUGGUGAUGAAGUUUACGGUGGUUUCAAAGUCGACUUGGCCACCGGCUUGGGAGAAUUGGACCGGGUUCGUGUACAAGACCCGGCCGACACUACCGAUCUGCGGUCGCCUUGGUAGGUGAGGUCGGUCGGCUGGUUGUCCCAGAAGUUAUAGGCGAAGGCCGUUGAUCGGGACUUCGCCCUGUUGGUGGCGACGGCGAGAAGAAGGGCGAUGGAGAUUAGGGUUUGGAGAAGGUUGGCCAUGGCUUAGUUGUGCAGUGAAUGAUGUCUACUACUUGCUCCUAUUUAUAAUGAUCGAAAAUAUCUACUACUUACCUACCACAGAUCCACAUCAGGGGCCCUGGAUGGGGUGGUCGACUACAUAAGCCCAAAAAAAUAAGGGCUCGGAAAAUAUAUAGAUCCAUGUAAGUAUUAUAUAUAUGUAUAAAAUAAUUAAAAGCCAACUAAUGAUUGAAUUGAUUAACUUGGCGCAGUGGAAAAAGGACAUUUUUAAUUCCUCUUAAUUACCAAUAUUUUAUUUAGUGACCAAUUUUUUUGUUUAGAUAUAGGGCCCAGCCCCUAUUUUGAUAAAUUAAGUGUAUGUAUUUCAAAUUAACAUUAUUUUAAGUUGUCGAAUUUUUUUGUUAAGAUUUAGGGUCCAGCCCCUAUUUUGUUAAAUUAACUUUAUUUUAAGUGAAUGACAUAAUUAUUAAUAUAUUUAUUAAUUAUUAUGUAAUUUGAUAAAAAAAUGUUUUAAAUAAUUUUAGUUUAUAAUUAAUUUAUUUCUCAAUUAUAAAUAAAUGGCCUAAAUUAAAAAAUUCGCAAAGGGCCUAUGUUCUCUUAGCCCUACCCUUGCACUGUUGCACAUGGUAUAUAUAUCUAUUCUAUGAAUAUAAGUGAUUAUUUUAUAAACCACGUGAAAGCACUUGUUCCCACUAGCACUAUAAAAGCAAUAAAUACAACGGAAAGAAAAUAAAUUACAAUUGAAUACAUUAGGAGAAAAAUUACUUCUAACCUAUGGAAUUACUAACAACGAUACUUAUACCAAAGCUAAAUUGGACCAACUAACUGUACACUCUUGUAUUAUAUCAACCUACCAGACCUUAGUAUUCACGAGUCUCCCACAGUCUAGACUGAUUCACAAUAUAUACCAACAUUGGAACAAGUUCAGUAAUACACUCUAUUUAUAUAUAUUAUUAUAUACACAAAAAUGCAUGGCUGCUGUGGUAUUACGGAAGGAUCGAGAAUUACUCGAUCCUUGGGAAAAGGUUCAAAUGAAACCUUUAUUAUUACUCUCCGUCCCCCAAAUAAUAUCAUAUCCGAUUUGGGAUAUUACCCCACCACUAAUAAUACUUUAUUUAUUCUAACUUCUCAAUCUUUCACCAUUCUCAAUACUAAUUAUAACACAUUUUCAUCACUUUCAAUACUAAUUAUAAUUUCUUUUCUCCACUGCUAAUACGUACACUUAACAAUUUUUCCUUAAAACCAGUGUCGUCCCCUACUAAGAAGUUAUUUGGGGGACGUAGGGAGUAUUUUUUAAUGAUAUGGCAUCCAAAUAUGUUGUGACAAUCCAGUGAGCAAUAUCAACUUUUUGGAGCUGAAAACCGAUGUGAGGUACAACUAAUACACAAUAUGUUGUGGCAAUCCAGUAAUAUACCCUAAGGAUGCGUCAUCUUUUGUUGUAAAUUUAUCAUGGAAAAAUGAGGGAUAAACAAAAUUUCACCCAUUAAAUCCUUCAUUUUUUCCCUCAUUUCUUACAAAAUAGAAUUUGACCCUUACUCAUUUCUCAUUUUCACUGCAAAGGGGGGCUAAUAUUAUCUCUCUAUUUUUGGUAUAAUGAAGAAUUUGAUACGUAAUUACAAUUAAUUAUAAUGAAGUGUGUAUUUUAGUUGCUCAUAUUCUUGGAUUAUUUAUGCUUUAAUGAAACGAUCCACUGCCUUUAACAUUUUGGCAUUUUAAAGUAAACGCCGAAAUGCAACGAUCCACUGCCUUUUAAGUAAACACCCUUGCUAACCCCUGCAUGCGUUUUUUCAUCAAACACUUGGGUUCAUUCUUUUAGGCAUUUUAUCAAACAGUUGUGCUCAGCCUCAUCCUUUUGAUCACAUUCCCAUAUCUCUCCUUAUAUGAAACCGCAUUUUCUAUUUCUCAUAUAUUUCCUAUAUAAUAUUUCCAUCAUUUCUAGCUCAACAAUAAUUCUUCUAGCAAAAUUAUCAUUUCAAAUGCACUCUUUUCCUUUUCUACUUUCUCUUCUGCAUAACAGAAAUACUAAUCCACCAUAAAAUAAUCAUAACUUUUUCUUAAUGAUACGAUGAGGGCACAAAGUUGAGAUGAUAAAAUCAUACAUAUUGGCGAAUGUUGCCGCCGGCUUCCUCUGACUUUUGGAUGCUGAGGGGAGGGGUGGCGGUGAAAUACCAGGAGUUGAUGAUGAAUUUGAUGGUUGUUUCCAUGUCCACCUGCCGCAGAGACCGAGAUACGAUUUUAGAAACAAACGGCAAAAUUACAAUUUCACAUAUAAAAAAUAAAAGACAAUUAAUAAAGCGCAUAAUAUUGGUAAGAUGCUUCCAACCAAUAGGUCGGGAUUGUAUAUCGUGUGAGUGUGUUUUUCAUUUUUUAGUAAUAACAUGUCGUGCUCGGGGCUUUUUUCCGUAUCUGCCCCUGCUUCCCGUCGUCGUGCCCGACUCGUCGGUUUUUGUCAUGCGGAGGUAGGUGGUGGCGUCGGUGAAGUUGGCGUCGCCUUCCAAGCGUAGGCCUUCCGAAUGUGGCGGCUUUUGGUAGAAGUCGUAGGUGAAGGAGACUGCAUCGCCGACCGACACGGUGGCGAGGAGGAGGGCGAUGGAGGAGAGGAGAGGAAUUAAGGUUUGGAGAAGGUUGGCCAAUUUGAUUAAAUGUAUUUGGAUGUAGUGGAUGAUGGUGUAUCGAUCUCUUGCUCCUAUUUAUAGUUGUAAAUAUAUAUUAAUAAUGGUAUCAUUCAAUCAUUAUACUUUAGGCCGGCCGGGCCGGAUCCUCUAUUCCAAAUUCUAUGUCUCAUUGUUCAUAUUCACUAUUAAUUUCACUAUUUCAAUAAUUAAAAAAAUUCAUAGAGUUUGGGGCAGAGGAUCCCGUUUGAAUCCCACAUGGAUCCUCUGUCCCAUAACUUAUUGUGUUCCUUCCCAUUAUUAAUCUCGAUAUUAUAUUUCUACUUUGGAGUUAAUUCAUUAUAAACCCAUGAAAGAUCAGACGAAAUUCAUCCAAUAAACAUUUAUAAAUUUAUAUUUAAAUUUUGUUUCGCGGGUAUCUGAUAGAUAAUAGGUAUUCGUGGGUGGCGAAUUUGGGUAGCAUUUGAUAUUCAUAGAUAGUUUCAUGAUUAAAAUCCAAUAUUCAUUUAGUUCACGGGUAUGGUAUGACAGCCACUAUCUGUGUACGUCAUACCUGAUUGCCAGUAUGACAAAUAUAAAAGUUGUGAGAUGCACAGCAGCUUAAUUAUUCAAAUAGAAAUAUCAUCACAUGUGCAUUGAUAUUUCACAAAAUAAAUACUACUACUAAUAAAUACUCCCUCCGUCCACCAAAGAUAUGCCACUUUACUUUCGGUACGAGUUUUAAUAAAAUGUGAGUGAAGUUGGUAGUGGAGUAAGGGUCCCACUUUAAAUGUGAGUGGAAUGGUAUGGACCUUACUACUAAAAAUGGAUGUGGCAUAUUUUUCGUGGACGAACGAGAAAGAAAAUUGUGGCAUAUCUUUGGUGGACGGAGGGAGUAGUACUCAUUGAUAAUGCAUGCCAACACAUGGUUCUUGCAAGUCAUAUAUAUACCUCAUCAGCAAUAUAGUAAAAUGAUGAUUUGACAACCAGAUUAAGACACCAAUUAUUCUUGUCGGGACACAGACAUAUAUGCAUAUAGAAUUAAUAUUAUUUACUAUUUCGUUUAUACACGUGAAUUAUGCUUUGGAUGCAACAUCGCCACGUCUCUUUCAUUUAUACUUCUCUAGUGUAUUGCGGACAAAAUAGUUAGUGUCUUUAAGAAAUUAAAAAUUUUCAAAUACAUAAGAAAGAAUAAUUAAUCUAAUUGGUGCGCCGGCAACUAAAACUUUUUUCAAUUCACUUUAUAUUUUAUAUACUCCCUCCGUCCACGAUUUAAUGCCCCAUUUUAGUGUGGGCACGGAGACUAAGAAAACUGAAAAAGGUGAUGUGAAUGAAAUAUAAGGGUAGUUGACUAAAGUGAUAAAGAUGCUGUGAGUGGGUUCACUAGUGAUAAAGUAUAGGAAAUAUAGAAUAUAAAAAUGAUAAAGGUGUUUUAAGUUGGGUCCAUUAGUGGCAAAGAGUAAUAAAUAUAGAAAAAGAAGAGUAAAAAAGUACAAAAAGCAUAAUAGGGCUUUAAUUUGUGGACAAAAAAUUAAGAGCAAGUAGGGCUUUAAAUUGUGGACGGAGGGAGUAUUUAACAUUACAAGUCAAUUGCUUGCAGAAUUUGAGCUUGUCUCCCGUGAUGGAGACCUCACCAUGCGGCAACCCGUGCCUGCGCCUGCCUUUUUUCUUCCCGUCUUGCUCUAUCCAGAUAUUAUACGUGAUCCAACUCUUUCCAGAUAUUAUACGUAAAUGAUAAUUUUACUAACAAAAAUUACACUUUUUAUCAAUAACAAAUGAAACUAUGCAUACAAAACAGGAGGUAAAUGAUAUUUUUCUUAAUAACAACUGAUACUUUUUCAAUGCAAAUAAUACUUCGCAAAUGAUAUUUUAAUAUAAAAGUAAAUGAUACUUUGUAUAAAAAUAAAUGUUAUAUUACAAAUGACACUUUUAAUGCAUACCAAUGACACUUUUAAUAACAAAAAUUGAGAAAAAAAAAUUAGAAUUCGGCCUUAAUUAAAAUUUGGACAACAUUUAUUUGGGCAAAGAAGAAAAACACCUGAAUUUUUUUUUUUCCUUUUUUGAGAGAGAAAAACUCAUGAAAUUUCAUGCAAAAGGUAAUGCAUAGCCAACCGGGCUCAAUCAUCUUUCGGCGGUUUUGGUUUGAUUCUUCCAACAUCUAGGGUAGCAUUCACACAAAAUCAACUCGUGUUCAAAAAUCUGAAAUUAAAAUUAACGAUGUGUCUCAGUAUAGAGAUAAGAACAUACCCCUCAAAUGGUUCGAGCCAAGGUCUAAUUCCUUCAGCAGUGUGAUAUUCCAAAUUUGAGUAGGCAUAUAUCCGCCAAAGUUGUUGUCUGACAAGCGAAUACUCUCAAGUUGUGGACAUUGGUACAAACUCGAUGGUAUAUCUCCUUCCAAAUUGUUAAAGGAUAGGUUCACUAGUUUAAGUCUUUGAAGGUUAUUGUACGUGCNUAGACAACAAGAAAUAUCUAUUGUCUAUUCUAUGACAAAAAAAUUAAAAAAUUCUAAUAUAUCUGCAUCCCUGUAUUACAAUACCAAUAUAUAUGAAAAAAUAAAAAUAAUUAAAAAUCAAAUAAUCAAACAAUACUUAUAAACCACUAAUACUCACAAUCAAAUAUUUACACAUCAGUGUAAAUAUUGGGUUCGAGUCCUCUGCGUGUGUUGAUCAAGCGGUAAGGGGUUAAUGCCUAAGGUCAAAGGUCUGGGAUUCGAGUCCCCUGUGGUGUAGCCUUUUAAUUUCGUUAUUUAAUAUUGUAAAUUUAUAAAAAAAAAAAAGUAUAUUUACACAUCAACAAUUGUAUUAUCUUUAAUACGCCUUCAUUCAUCUAAUAAAAAAAAUCUCUAAUAAAAUCUCCAACUAACUCCGGUCAUGAUCAUCUCUUGAAGGCGGAGGAAGGUGGAGUCCGUCGGGAAAUGGGUACUGCCUUGAUAGAUGAGAUCUUUCGGCUGGUCGCCCCAGAAGUCGUAGGUGAAGGACGUCGUUUGGGACAACGCCGUGUUGGAAACGGAGAGGAGGAGGACGAUGGAGGAGAGGAGAGGAGUUAAGGUUUGAAGAAGCUGGUUGGCCAUGGCUUAAUUGAUUUAGAUUUAGAGAUGUGGUGGAUGAUGGUGGUAUCGAUCUCUUGCACCUAUUUAUACUAGUAUGGUUCAUGCCUGUUAAUAAUUGUAUAUAUCAAUCAUCGUGCAUCUAUCCCAAAUUAUAUGUCUUAUUAUUCACUAAUUAGAUGGAUUAAAUCCUGAUUAGUAACCAUAAAAUUAAACUGUCAAUGAGGCCUUGCUCUAGUGGCAAAGCUGUGACACCGAAUAACUUUUCUUUGUGAAAUGUCUUGGGUUCAAUCUCGCCUGCAUGCGGUGAUGUGUGUCCAUUUUAGGUGGUGUGGUAUUCUUGUCUGCGUGCGGUGUUGUAUUGUUUAGUGUUGAGGUCCCACAUGCAGAGCGUUCUUGCCUGUGUACGUGUCACAGCCCAAAACCAUUUAUUUUCUUUACAAAUUUUAUAUAUGAAAAUUAUUUAAUUUUUAAGUUAUAGAGUUUUUGAAAUAUAUAUAGUAUCAAUUUUAUGUUAACUUAGUCGUGUCCCUAAUUAAAAGAAUGACUUUAAAAUAAAACUUAAGCCUUAAAAAUUUAAUCUACAUUCAUAUAUAACUGAAAUUACAUGCAUGUCUAAAUAUUAUUUAUAAUUAUCAAUAACAAGAUUAAUGAUUCUAUAUCUCUAUGUUUAUACAUGUAUUCACGUAUGACAUAGUAUAUAUUAGCUAUUAAGUUAAAAACUAAUAAAAUACUACACUUUUGCAUAGGAUAUAUAUUUAAUUAGUAGUAGGAUAGGACACGUGUAUUAAUUUUAAGGGCAAGUAAUCAAACUUUUGAAUGAUUCAUCAUGCUUAAAAAAAAAAGAGACCUAGAUAGAUGAUUCAUCAGAUUCAAAAACAAGUAUAAAUAGACUUCGGGUUUGAAAUUUUAAUUAAUUUGCAACAACAAUUCAAACUGACUGUAUUAAGGUAAGUAGUUACAGAUUUCAUACACAUAUUAUAUGAUUUCGCACACAUAUUAAGGUAAGUAUAUAUAAAUAUUUUUUAAAAUCAUAUAUUAUAUAAUAAUUAUAUUUAAGUUUUAUAUUAUUCUUUAUAAACUAUUGUUUCAUUCUAUAUAAUUAGGUGUGGCACGACUAGGACGUAACUUUCUAUUGAAUUUCUCAAGUUAAUCUUAGAGUUCAAGUUUCAGGUGUGAGAUUUAUUUAAAUACAUGUCGUACGUGGUUAUUUAUUGUCCAUUUUAAUAAGAUGUGUUUACCAUAUGUGUUAUGACGCAUAUUUUUAGGAUAUCACUAGGUGCCCAUAAAUAGGAUCCAGGACUUCACCGUCCUUGGAUUGCCACAAUGCGAUUUGAGGUUUAUUUUGAGGAUGUCGUUAGGGGCCCGUACAUAGGGUCCAGGACUUUAAUAGUCAUUGGGUUGCCAUAGUGCAAAUAUUGAGGAUAUAUAUGAAGUGACCGUAUGUGUUACCGUUUCAUUAACGUGGACAAUGAUUGCAUGUUUAAGAGACAAUAACCAAUUUUUCAGACAUUUGUGAACAAAAUGAAGCAUGUUUAGAGAUCCUUAAUACAGGUGUACGAAAUGAUGGAUAAAUAAGUUUGUGAAACAAAUUUCACCAUACCUAACCCCACAAUUAUUUGCGGUCGAAUUUCCUCGUCACAGGAAAAAGAGAUGAUGACAAAAGGGAAAAAAUUAAUUAACAAAGUAGAAGAUGCAUGACAACUGUAAAAGAAAAAUAAUGCUACUAAUUAAAUAGUCCAAACUUCAUACGUUUCAUAUCAUAAGUGGCAGUUCUAUUUUUUUUUUUGCGAAUGUGAACAAAAUAACGAAUAAUUUUUAAAGUAAUAGUAAUAAGGAGAUGUGUUUUGACAGAAAACGACAUGAGCGGCCUAAAAAUAAGAGGGAAAAAGAUAAUCAUAUAAAUAUUCAAAAUCAAACGGAUUGGCAUGUAUUCAUCAUUUUUUAUUUUUUAUUUUGAUAAUUUAACAGUACUCCCUCCGUCCGUCAAAAGUAGACCACUUUGGUUGGGCACGGGAUUUAAUAAAAUUAGUGAUGAUUUUGAUGUAGUAGAGAAAGAGUUCCACCACUUUAUGAGAUGUGUGGUUGAGAUUGAAUUUGUUGUGAUUUUUUUGUAAAUAAAGAGUGUUUGUAAGGAUAAAAGAUUAAAGUGGGUGGUGGGACCAUUUCCAUAAAAGGAAAGUGGUCUACUAUUUGCGGACGCCCAAUAUAGUAAAAGUAGUCUACUUUUGGCGGACGGGGAGAGUAUUAAAUAAAUAAAUUUAAAGGUUGCACCCCUUACUGCUUGGCUUUUAGAUUAUGUUAUAAUAAUAAAAUUAACAGCACGUUUACAAUAUAAAAUUAAUUAUGAUAAAUACAAUAUAUUAAUAAUAAAUACUCAAUUACCUCUUAACAUAAUUCGCGCAUCAUGGCUUUUAGCUUAUAUUAUAAAGAUAUAAUAUGUUGUCUAUAAUAAUCGACGGAAGGUAAUAGACAACAUGUUUUAUAUGUUGUCUAUAAUAAUAUAGACAGUAGAUCUAGUGUUAUAGAUAACAAUUAAUACUUGUUGUCUAUAUGAUGAUAGACACCAAAAAUCUCUGUUGUCUAUUCUAUGACAAAAAAAUUUAAAAAAAUUCUAAUAUAUUUACAUCCCUGUAUUACAAUACCAAUAUAUAUGAAAAAAUAAAAAUAAUUAAAAAUCAAAUAAUCAAACAAUACUUAUAAACCACUAAUACUCACAAUCAAAUAUUUACACAUCAACAACUGUAUUAUCUUUAAUUACGCCUUCAUUUAUCUAUUAAAAAAAAUCUCUAAUAAAAUCUCUAACUAACUCCGGUCAUCAUCUCUUGAAGGCUUAGAAAAUGUCCAAAUACAGCGGCACAUGCUCAUUAUUGUGUGAGCGAUGAGAACUUUGCGCUGAACCUAUAAAGUAACUAUACUUAACUGGUAAAGUAAUUGUAUCCCGUGAAUCUAAAGGAAGACUACACACGUUGAUAGAGUUUGAAAGAAAAGAAUAAAGAGAAUGAAAAUCCAAAGAAUUUGCUUCUUCCGUUGAACAAUCCCUACACAACAUUGAAAUAUCAAUGAAAAUAAUGGCUAUCGUAUACUCCCUCCAUCCAUGAAAGAACUUCAUAGGAGGGAGUGACACGGGUUUUAAGAAAAAAUAUUGUUAAGUGUAUUGAGAGUGGAUAAAAGGUAGUUGAGUGUAUUGGGAGUGGUGAAAAUGUGUUAUAGUUAAUAUUGAGAGUUGUGAAAAGUGAAAAGUAAGAGGAUUAUAAGUGGUGGGGUAUAGUCCAAAAAUAGGUAGGAAGUUCUUUUGUGGACGUCCCAAAAAGGAAAGAUAUGAAGUUCUUUCGUGGACGGAGGGAGUAUUAUUUUGCAGCAGCAACCACGUUUGAAAACUCGAUCCCUCUGUUCUUGAAUUUGUGAAAUUUCCGACUGAUUUAUUAGAUUCACCAUUUAUUUCAGUUUAAUUAGUCUAUAUAUAGAUAUUUCUUAUAUUAUUAAAUUGUUAACCUCAUGGUAGAUUUCAAGAUUUGAAAAUUCAACAAAGAGCUUGAGAAUUAUUGAGAUUGGAAGGGGAAGAUGAAACAUAAUUGGGUGAAAUUAGAAACCAAUUAAAGUCACAAGAUUGAACAAAAACAUAACUUAAAAACACAAAAUAAGCAAAUCGUAGAUGCAGUAUCUUGCAAGAAAAAGUUCAUAUUCCCAAGGCUAUGAUGAGCACGAAUUAGGGUGUGUCUGCAUUUUAUCCCUCUAAAUAGAGGAAUAACAAAAUUUUAUUCUUUAAAUGUUUGCUUUCUUAUCACACAUUCUACACAAACACCAUUUUUUCUUCCUUAUUUUCACUUCAAGGAGGANUAAUAUUAUCCCUCCAAUUUUGGUGUGAUAAUAUUAUCUCUUCUUGAAGUGAAAAUAAGGAAGAAAAAAUGGUAUUUGUGUAGGAUGUGGGAUAAGAAAGCAAACAUUUAAAGGUAUAAAUUUUUGUUAUUCCUCAUUUAGAGGAAUAAAAAGCAAACACACAUUAGAGUCUACUUACAAUUUAGGCGCAGGCUGUGCGAGAAUUACUUAGUCGAAUAGGAUCCUAAGUAUUUAUAUUUCUCAUGUUCUUGUGUAUUUUUUUACUGAUUCACUAUUGGAUUAACAAGAAUUAUCUUACUUUAAAUUUCUUGCUUUAAAAAAAAAAAAGAAUUAUCUUACUUCAUGUAUGGUAUGCCAACUGUUCGAUAAAGGUCCUUUUAGAAAUCUUCUAUUGAUUACCUUGCGAAGACCACAAAACUAGACACACCCAAAAGCAUUCUUGCAUAGUUUAUACAUAGAGAUGGCCGAUUGAUGAUCGUCUUAUUUGUAGACUUAACGCGAGCAGACUCGAUCGCUUAGUCCUUAUUGAUUUACGACACACAUGCUCACACACACACAUACACACAUCACAAAAUCACACAAAUUGACGGAUAAUGUUGCCGUUCAGCUCCUUCCUGAACCUCACCGCGGCAUUUUUCUGCACCAUAGUGGCCGUGAAAUACCACGAGACGAUGUCAUGGACGGCGACGUGUUGUCCGGUGGCGGCGGAUAGCCCGACCUGAACCUGCUGAGGAACAAAGUCGCUCAAAUCGUACUCAUAGUUGACAUCAAAUGUCUGCGAGCCGGCGGUGACUUUCACGGAGAUCAUCCUUGUGGCUCCGACGUAGUUGAUCCGCGCAGUCACCUGCUGCCCGAGUAUGGAGUUGUCGACCUUCGUCGUGUUGCUGGAUGCCCUAGAGCCGAAGUCGAUGCCGAUGUGGGGAUAGAGCGGAUCCCACGCGCCGUUGACGUAGGUGUCGAUUUCGACGGCGAAGACCGAGGGGCUGUUGCCGUUGGAGCCAAAGAUUCCGAGGUUGGCUCCGUUGGAGCCAGGGGGGAUGGUGGAACCGACGGGGGCAAUGAAGAAGGCGAGGCCGUCGGCAGGCUCGUUGUCGGCGCCCGGGGUGAUGAUGAAGUUCACAGUGGUUUCGAAGUCGACCUGCCCACCGGACUGCGAGAAUUGGACCGGGUUCGAGUGCAAGACGCGGCCGACUUGUGAGGGCUGUGCGUCUGUGAGGCGGAGGAAGGUGGAGUCCGUCGGGAAAUGGGCGCUGCCUUGAUAGAUGAGAUCUUUCGGCUGGUCGCCCCAGAAGUCGUAGGUGAAGGACGUCGUUUGGGACAACGCCGUGUUGGAAACGGCGAGGAGGAGGGCGAUGGAGGCGAGGAGAGGAGUUAAGGUUUGAACAAGCUGGUUGGCCAUGGCUUAAUUGAUUUAGAUUUAGAUUUAGAGAUGUGGUGGAUGAUGGUGGCCAGGUAUCGAUCUCUUGCACCUAUUUAUACUAGUAUGGUUCAUGCCUGUUAAUAAUUGUAUAUAUCAAUCAAUCAUCGUGCAUCUAUCCCAAAUUAUAUGUCUUAUUAUUCACUAAUUAGAUGGAAUAAAUCCUAAUUAGCAAUCUUAAAAUUACACCGCCAAUGAGGCCUUGCUCUAGUGGUAAAGCUGUGGCACCGAAUAACUUUUCUUUGUGAAAGGUCUUGGGUUCAAUCUCGCCUGCAUGCGGUGAUGUUUGUCCAUUUUAGAUGGUGUGGUAUUCUUGCCUGCGUGCGGUGUUGUAUUAUUUAGUCUUAGGCGUUCUUGCCUGUGUGCAUAUCACUGUGUGACAAUUAAAAGAAUGACUUUAAAAUAAAAGUUAAGCCUUAAAAAUUUAAUCUACAUUCAUAUAUAACUGAAAUUACAUGCAUGUCUAAUUUUUUUAAUAUCAUAACAAGAUAAGAUUUAUUAAAUAAUUCAGAUGCAUAAAUAAAAAGUUAAUCUAUAAACACAGUAUAGAUAUAUUAUCAAUGAUAGGCCGUGUAUAAGUCUUAAUCUGUAAAACUAUAUCAUCCCAGCCUUAAACGACUACCAUUCCUGCUUUCCCAGAGCAACCACACUGUUCCCACCCACAAAGCUUUAAGCAGUACAUGCAUGUCUAAAUAUUAUUUAUAAUUAUCAAUAACAAGAUUAAUGAUUCUAUAUCUCUAUGUUUAUACAUAUAUUCACGUAUGACAUAGUAUAUAUUAGCUAUUAAGUUAAAAACUAAUAAAAUACUACAGUUUUGCAUAGGAUAUAUAUUUAAUUAGUAGUAGGAUAGGACACGUGUAUUAAUUUUAAGGGCAAGUAAUCAAACUUUUGAAUGAUUCAUCAUGCUUAAAAAAAAAAAGAGACCUAGAUAGAUGAUUCAUCAGAUUCAAAAACAAGUAUAAAUAGACUUCGAGUUUGAAAUUUUAAUUAAUUUGCAACAACAAUUCAAACUGACUGUAUUAAGGUAAGUAGUUACAGAUUUCAUACACAUUAUAUGAUUUCGCGCACAUACGUAUGUAUAUAUAAAUAUUUUUUAAAAUCAUAUACUCCCUCCGUCCCCAAAAUAAGUUCCUCUUUGGGGACGGCACGGAUUUUAAGGAAAAGUGGUAAAGUGUAUUAAUAGUGGAGAAAAAUAUGUUAUAAUUAGUAUUGGAAGUUGUGAAAAGGUGAAAAAGUGUUAUAAUUAGUAUUGGGAGUGGUGAAAAAGUGAAAAGUAAGAAUAAAUAAAGUAUUAUUAGUGGUGGGGUAGUUGUCCAAAAAUGGAAAAAAAGAAAGAGGAACUUAUUUGGGGGACAUCCCAAAAUGGAAAAAGAGGAACUUAUUUCAGGGACGGAGGGAGUAUUAUAUAAUAAUUAUAUUUAAGUUUUAUAUUAUUCUUUAUAAACUAUUGUUCCAUUCUAUAUAAUUAGGUGUGGCACGACUAGGACGUAACUUUCGAUUGAAUUUCUCAAGUUAAUUUUCAAGUUCAAGUUUCAGGUGUGAGAUUUAUUUAAAUACAUGUCAUGAUUAUUCAUUGUCCAUUUUAAUAGUAUGUGUUUACCAUAUGUGUUAUGACGCAUAUUUUGAGGACAUCGCUAGGAGCCCAUAAAUAGGGUCCAGGACUUCACCGUCCUUGGAUUGCCACAAUGCGAUUUGAGGUUUAUUUUGAGGAUGUCGUCAGGGGCCCGUAAAUAGGGUCCAGGACUUUAAUAGUCAUUGGGUUGCCACAGUGCGAAUAUUGAAGAUAUAUAUGAAGUGACCGUAUGUGUUACCGUUUCAUUAACGUGGACAAUGAUUGCAUGUUUAAGAGACAAUAACCAAUUUUUCAGACAUUUGUGAACAAAAUGAAGCAUGUUUAGAGAUCCUUAAUAAAGGUGUACGAAAUGAUGGAUAAAUAAGUUUGUGAAACAAAUUUCACCAUACCUAACCCCACAAUUAUUUGCGGUCGAAUUUCCUCGUCACAGGAAAAAGAGAUGAUGACAAAAGGGCAAAAAUUAAUUAACAAAGUAGAAGAUGCAUGACAACUGUAAAAGAAAAAUAAUGCUACUAAUUAAAUAGUCCAAACUUCAUACGUUUCAUAUCAUAAGUGGCAGUUCUAUUUUUUUUUUGCGAAAGUGAACAAAAUAACGAAUAAUUUUUAAAGUAAUAGUAAUAAGGAGAUGUGUUUUGACAGAAAACGACAUGAGCGGCCUAAAAAUAAGAGGGAAAAAGAUAAUCAUAUAAAUAUGGGUUAAUUGCCUCUAAAUACACCACCUUUCCUUGAAUUCUACAAUUGCACAUCACCUUUAAAAUCCGCCCUUAAAUACACCACCUUUCCUUGAGUUCUACAAUUGCACAUCACCUUUAAAUCCGCCCCAAAAUACAUCAUCUUUAUAUUUUUUCUGUUUUUGCACAUGACUAAAAAAUUCUCAAGAAAUAAAUUAAAGUGUUAAUUUAUAAAUUUAAAUAUCUUUUUAGCAGCGAAAACAUAAUAAAAUAAAAUUCUUUAUAAAGUUUAAAAUCAUAUAUAUAUAUAUAUAUAUAUAAGUAUUUUCGUAAAGAAAUAAAUUCUCUAAUAAAUUUUUAGAAAGAACUUGAAUUAAAAAAAUAAACAAGUCAUGACAUUAAGAAAAUAAAAUGAAAUUUUUAUUUUAAUAAAUUUCACACGAAUUCGAUAUAAUUUGGAAUUUAGAGUUACAAUAAUCAGAAGUACCACAUGAAUAAUAUAAUGAGUUUGAAAGAAAUUUUUUUUAAAGAGGUUCGACACGCCCAUUCGACUUUCCACGCGCCUCCAAUGUCAUUUACCUGAAAUAUUAANUAUAUAAGUAUUUUUCGUAAAGAAAUAAAUUCUCUAAUAAAUUUUUAGAAAGAACUUGAUUAAAAAAUAAACAAGACAUGACAUUAAGAAAAUAAAAUGAAACUUUUAUUUUAAUAAAUUUCACACGAAUUCGAUAUAAUUUGGAAUUUAGAGUUACAAUAAUAAAAAGAACCACAUAAAUAAUAUAAUCAGUUUGAAAGAAAUAUAUAUAUAUUUUUUUAAAGAGGUUCGACGCGCCCAUUCGACUCUCCACGCGCUACCAAUGUCAUUACCUGAAAUACUAAAUAUGGGAUAAGCAUACAUAAUAUACUUAGUGUGGGAACAUGCAAUUAUUGUCCACGUUAAUAAAAUAGUAACACAUACGAUCAUAACAUUCAAAACGACACAAUUUUGCCAAUAUGGAAGCCACGUCAUUUAAAGUGGUAACACCCUAAUCUAACUAAAGUGUUAAAUAUAAAUUUAAAGCGGAAAUAUAAUAAAAUAAAGUUCUUUAUAAAAAUAAAUAAAGAAUUUUAUUUUAUUAUAUUUCCGCUGCUAAAAAAGAUAUUUAAAAUUUAUAAAUUAACACUUUAAUUUAUUUCUUGAGGAUUUUUAAGUCAUGUGCAAAAACAGAAAAAAAAUAUAAAGGUGAUGUAUUUUGGGGCGGAUUUAGAAUUCAAGGAAAUGUGGUGUAUUUAGGGGCGGAUUUUAAAGGUGAUGUGCAAUUGUAGAAUUCAAGGAAAGGUGGUGUAUUUAGGGGAAAUUAACCCUAUAAAUAUUCAAAAUCAAACGGAUUGGCAUGUAUUCAUCAUUUUUUAUUUUUUAUUUUGAUAAUUUAACAGUAUUAAAUAAAGAAAUUUAUAGGCUGCGUCCCUUACUGCUUGGCUUUUAGAUUAUGUUGUAAUAAUAAAAUUAAAAGCACGUUUACAAUAUAAAAUUAAUUAUGAUAAAUACAAUAUAUUAAUAAUAAAUACUCAAUUACCUCUUAACAUAAUUCGCGCAUCAUGGCUUUUAGCUUAUAUUAUAAAGAUAUAAUAUGUUGUCUAUAAUAAUCGACGGAAGGUAAUAGACAACAUGUUUUACUUCUUGUCUAUAAUAAUAUAGACAGUAGAUCUAGUGUUAUAGAUAACAAUUAAUACGUGUUGUCUAUAUGAUGAUAGACACCAAAAAUCUCUGUUGUCUAUUCUAUGACAAAAAAAUUUAAAAAAAUUCUAAUAUAUUUACAUCCCUGUAUUACAAUACCAAUAUAUAUGAAAAAAUAAAAAUAAUUAAAAAUCAAAUAAUCAAACAAUACUUAUAAACCACUAAUACUCACAAUCAAAUAUUUACACAUCAACAAUUGUAUUAUCUUUAAUUACGCCUUCAUUUAUCUACUAAAAAAAAUCUCUAAUAAAAUCUCUAACUAACUCCGGUCAUCAUCUCUUGAAGGCUUAGAAAAUGUCCAAAUACAGCGGCACAUGCUCAUUAUUGUGUGAGCGAUGAGAACUUUGCGCUGAACCUAUAAAGUAACUAUACUUAACUGGUAAAGUAAUUGUAUCCCGUGAAUCUAAAGGAAGAAUAAACACGUUGAUAGAGUUUGAAAGAAAAGAAUAAAGAGAAUGAAAAUCCAAAGAAUUUGCUUCUUCCGUUGAACAAUCCCUACACAACGUUGAAAUAUCAAUGAAAACAAUGGCUAUCCUAUACUCCCUCCAUCCAUGAAAGAACUUCCUAGGAGGGAGUGACACGGGUUUUAAGAAAAAAUAUUGUUAAGUGUAUUGAGAGUGGAUAAAAGGUAGUUGAGUGUAUUGGGAGUGGUGAAAAUGUGUUAUAGUUAAUAUUGAGAGUUGUGAAAAGUGAAAAGUAAGAGGAUUAUAAGUGGUGGGGUAUAGUCCAAAAAUAGGUAGGAAGUUCUUUUGUGGACGUCCCAAAAAGGAAAGAUAUGAAGUUCUUUCGUGGACGGAGGGAGUAUUAUUUUGCAGCAGCAACCACGUUUAAAAACUCGAUCCCUCUAUUCUUGAAUUUGUGAAAUUUCCGACUGAUUUAUUAGAUUCACCAUUUAUUUCAGUUUAAUUAGUCUAUAUAUAGAUAUUUCUUAUAUUAUUAAAUUGUUAACCUCAUGGUAGAUUUCAAGAUUUGAAAAUUCAACAAAGAGCUUGAGAAUUAUAGAGAUUGGAAGGGGAAGAUGAAACAUAGUUGGGUGAAAUUAGAAACCAAUUAAAGUCAGGAGAUUGAAGAAAAACAUAACUUAAAAACACAAAAUAAGCAAAUCGUAGAUGCAGUAUCUUGCAAGAAAAAGUUCAUAUUCCCAAGGCUAUGAUGAGCACGAAUUAGGGUGUGUCUGCAUUUUAUCCCUCUAAAUGGAGGAAUAAUAAAAUUUUAUGCCUUUAAAUGUUUGCUUUCUUAUCACACAUUCUAAACAAACACCAUUUUUUCUUCCUUAUUUUCACUUCAAUGAGGGAUAAUAUUAUCCCUCCAAUUUUGGUGUGAUAAUAUUAUCCCUCCUACAAGUGAAAAUAAGGAAGAAAAAAUGGUACUCCCUUCGUCCCAAACGAAAUGUCCUGUUUUCCUUUUUGGGCUGUCCCAAACGAAAUGUCCUGUUUCCUUUUUUGGCAAUACACUCUCUCUCUAUACUUAAUAUUUAAAUAAUUUUCACCAACCCACUUUAUCUACUUUAUACACAUUUCUUAAUCUCCGUGCCGAAAAGAAAUGGGACAUUUCGUUUGGGACGGAGGGAGUAUUUGUGUAGGAUGUGGGAUAAGAAAACAAACAUUUAAAGACAUAAAUUUUUGUUAUUCCUCCAUUUAGAGGGAUAAAAAGCAAACACACCUUAGAGUCUAAUUACAAUUUAGGCGCAGGCUGUGUGAGAAUUACUUAGUCGAAUAGGAUCCUUAGUAUUUAUAUUUCUCAUGUUCUUGUGUAUUUUUUCACUGAUUCACUAUUGGAUUAACAAGAAUUAUCUUACUUUAAAAAAAAAAAAGAAAUGAUCUUACUUCAUGUAUGGUAUGCCAACUGUUCGAUAAAGGUCCUUUUAGAAAUAUUCCAUAGAUUACCUUGCAAAGACCACAAAACUAGACACACCCUGCAUAGUUUAUACAUAGGGAUGGCCGAUUGAUGAUCGUCUUAUUUGUAGACUUAACGAGAGCAGACUCGAUCGCUUAGUCCUUACUGAUUUACGACACACAUGCACACAUACACAGAUACACACAUCACAAAAUCACGCAAAUUGACGGAUAAUGUUGCCGGCCAGCUCCUUCCUGCUCCACGCCACGGCAUUUUUCUGCACCAUGGUGGCCGUGAAAUACCACGAGACGAUGUCAUGGGUGGCGACGUGUUGUCCGGUGGCGGCGGAUAGCCCGACCUGAACCUCCUGAGCAACAAAGUAGCUCAAAUCGUACUCAUAGCUGACAUCAAACGUCUGAUUGCCGGCGGUGACUUUGACGGAGAUCAUCCUUGUGGCUCCGACGUAGUUGAUCCGCGCAGUUACCUGCUGCUUGAGUAUGGAGCUGUCGACCGGCGUCGUCUUGCUGGAUACCCUAGAGCCGAAGUCGAUGCCGAUGUGGGGAUAGAGCGGAUCCCACGCGCCGUUGACGUAGGUGUCGAUUUCAACGGCGAAGACCCCGGGGCUGUUGCCGUUGGAGCCAAAGAUUCCGAGAUUGGCUCCGUCGGAGCCAGGGGGGAUGGUGGAGUCGACGGGGGCAAUGAAGAAGGCGAGGCCGUCGGCAGGCUCGUUGUCGGCGCCGGGGGUGAUGAUGAAGUUCACGGUGGUUUCGAAGUCGACCUGCCCAUUGGACAUCCAGAAUUGGACCGGUUCCGAGUACAUGACGCGGCCGACUUGGGACGGUUGUGCGUCUGUGAGGCGGAGGAAGGUGGAGUCCGUCGGGAAAUGGGCGUUGCCUUGAUAGAUGAGAUCUUUCGGCUGGUCGCCCCAGAAGUCGAAGGUGAACGACGUCGUUUGGGACAACGCCGUGUUGGAAACGGCGAGGAGGAGGGCGAUGGAGGCGAGGAGAGGAGUUAAGUUGGCCAUGGCUUAAUAGAUUUAGAUUUAGAGAUGUGGUGGAUGAUGGUGGUAUCGAUCUGUUGCACCUAUUUAUACUAGUAUGGUUCAUGCCUGAUAAUAAUUGUAUCAAUCAAUCAUCGUGCAUCUAUCCCAAAUUAUAUGUCUUAUUAUUCACUAAUUAGAUGGAAUAAAUCCUAAUUUGCAAUCUUAAAAUUAAACCGCCAAUGAGGCCUUGCUCUAGUAGCAAAGCUGUGGCACCCAAUAACUUUUCUUUGUGAAAGGUCUUGGGUUCAAUCUCGCCUGCAUGCGGUGAUGUUUGCCCACUUUAGGUGGUGUGGUAUUCUCGCCUGCGUGCGGUGUUAUAUUGUUUAGUGUUAAGGUCCCACAUGCAGGGCGUUCUUGCAUGUGUGCGUGUCACAACCCAAAACCAUUUAUUUUCUUUACAAAUUUUAUAUGAAAAUUAUUUGAUUUUUAAGUUAUAGAGUUUUCGAUAUAUAUACAUAUAGUGUCAAUUUUAUGUUAACUUAGUCGUGUCCCUAAUUAAAAGAAUGAAUUUGAAAUAAAAGUUAAGCCUUAAAAAUUUAAUCUACAUUCAUAUAUAACUGAAAUUACAUGCAUGUCUAAAUAUUAUUUAUAAUUAUCAAUAACGGGAUUAAUGAUUCUAUAUCUCUAUGUUUAUACAUAUAUUCACGUAUGACAUAGUAUAUAUUAGCUAUUAAGUUAAAUAAAAUACUACAGUUUUGCAUAGGAUAUAUAUUUAAUUAGUAGUAGGAUAGGACACGUGUAUUAAUUUUAAGGGCAAGUAAUCAAACUUUUGAAUGAUUCAUCAUGCUUAAAAAAAAGAGACCUAGAUAGAUGAUUCAUCAGAUUCAAAAACAAGUAUAAAUAGACUUCGAGUUUGAAAUUUUAAUUAAUUUGCAACAACCAUUCAAACUGACUGUAUUAAGGUAAGUAGUUACAGAUUUCAUACACAUUAUAUGAUUUCGCGCACAUACGUAUGUAUAUAUAAAUAUUUUUUAAAAUCAUAUAUUAUAUAAUAAUUAUAUUUAAGUUUUAUAUUAUUCUUUAUAAACUAUUGUUCCAUUCUAUAUAAUUAGGUGUGGCAUGACUAGGACGUAACUUUCGAUUGAAUUUCUCAAGUUAAUCUUCAAGUUCAAGUUUCAGGUGUGGGAUUUAUUUAAAUACAUGUCGUGGUUAUUUAUUAUCCAUUUUAAUAAUAUGUGUUUACCAUAUGUGUUAUGAUGCAUAUUUUGAGGAUAUCGCUAGGGGCCCAUAAAUAGGGUCCAGGACUUCACCGUCCUUGGAUUGCCACAAUGCAAUUUGAGGUUUAUUUUGAGGAUGUCGUCAGGGAUCCGUAAAUAGGGUCCAGGACUUUAAUAGUCCUUGGGUUGCCACAGUGCGAAUAUAUUGAGGAUAUAUAUGAAGUGACCGUAUGUGUUACCGUUUCAUUAACGUGGACAAUGAUUGCUUGUUCUCACACUGAGUGUACUCUGUAUGCUCAUCCCAUAUUUAACGUGGAAGGUCGAUUGACGAAUCAAAUAUUUUGUAUUUAGCUUUACCUAAAUAUGUUAUUUUGAGUAAAGUAUUUUAAAUAAAAAUUUAUUUCAUAAUUUUCUCAUUAAAUAUUUAUUUAUAUUCAUAGCUUUUCCGCACAAAUAUUUAUUUAAAUUUUAAUUAGAUUUGGGUGUCACUGUGCGGUGAUGUUUUUCCACCGUUUCGGUGGUGGUGAGGCCCCACCUGCGUGCACGUUAUAUACUUGAUUAUAUUCAGAUACCUCUUGUAAUUUUUAAAAAAAUAAUCAUAAAAUUAAACCAAAGCAUAUAAAAUUGAAAUUGGCCAAAAAAAUAUAUAAAAAUAAAUAAAAUUAAAAAUGGGAUAUAAAGUGAGACAUUAAAUGUGGUACACUACUGAAUCUCAAUCCAACACGUGGAUGCUACAUUGUACUUGUCGGAAUAUUAGAACUUCUACAAAAUAUUGCUAUUGGAAACGUGAAAUUUUAUUAUGAGAAAACUUAUACCUGACCCCACAGUCGUGGGCACGUGUUAUGUUGCGCGGAAAUUAAAGUGGUGGGGACCGUAAAUGGUAUUUUAGUCUUUUAAUUUAUUUUAGUAUACAAAAGAGUUAAUUUUAAAGAGGCGCUAAAAAACACAUCACUUUUAAAAAUUGGUAUUUAAAAUCUUGAACCCCUUUUAUUAUUUUAGAAAGAUAUUAAUUAAUUGAUAAAUUAAUAAAUUAUUAAUUGAAACAAUUAUUUUAAGCAAAUUUAAUUAUAAUUACCUAAAAAUUUAAAAAACAUAAAUUCAAUACCAUUCAAAUUCAACAAACUAACUUAAAUUUUUACUUUAAAAAAUCUUCAUCAAUCUUGCAAUCUCGGCUUGGACUAUAAAUGUUCAACAAGAGACAAUAACCAAUUUUUCAGACAUUUGUGAACAAAAUGAAGCAUGUUUAGAGAUCCUUAAUAAAGGUGUACGAAAUGAUGGAUAAAUAAGUUUGUGAAAAUUUCACCAUACCUAACCCCACAAUUAUUUGCGAUCGAAUAUCCUCGUCACAGGAAAAAGAGAUGAUGACAAAAGGGAAAAAAAAAUUAACAAAGUAGAAGAUGCAUGACAACUGUCAAGAUAAAUAAUGUUACUAAUUAAAUAAUCCAAACUUUAUACGUUUCAUAUCAUAAGUGGCAGUUCUAUAUUUUUUGCGAAAGUGAACAAAAUAACGAAUAAUUUUUAAAGUAAUAGUAAAAGGAGAUGUGUUUUGACAGAAAACGACAUGAGCGGCCUAAAAAUAAGAGGGAAAAAGAUAAUCAUAUAAAUAUUCAAAAUCAAACGGAUUGGCAUGUAUUCAUCAUUUUUUAUUUUAAUAAUUUAACAGUAUUAAAUCAAGAAAUUUAAAGACCGCGCCCCUUACUGCUUGGCUUUAAGAUUAUGUUACAAUAAUAAAAUUAACAGCACGUUUACAAUAUAAAAUUAAUUAUGAUAAAUGCAAUAUAUUAAUAAUAAAUACUCAAUUACCUCUUAACAUAAUUCGCGCAUCAUGGCUUUUAGCUUAUGUUAUAAAGAUGGAGUAUAAAAUAAUCAUCACCUGUGCAUGAUAUUUCACAAAAUAAUUAAAUAAUAAAAUAAUCAAUCAUAAUGCCAAGACGUGACUCUUGUCGGUCAUAUCUCAUCAACUUUAUCUAUAUAGUACAAUGAUGAUUAAUUUGAGAACGACGAUUAAGACACCAACUAUUCUUGUGGGGACACAUGCAUAUAUAGAAUUAAUAUUAUAAACUCUCUCGGUCCACGAAAUAACUUACUAUUUUUUCUUUUAAGAACGUGAACAAAAAAAAUUCCCAUCGAUAUUUCGGAACUAUACCCCACUACUUUAAAAUACCUCAUUUUACCCUUUCUUUUUCACAAAAACAACAAAUUACUAAUAAUUUUUCACUAUUCCUAAUAUACUGAACAAUUUUUCUCCACUCUCAAAUUUUGUAGCACCGAAUAAAAUUAAAUACUAGUAUUAUUUUUUGUAGAACUAUAAAUAAAUAUUAUUCUCAAAACAUGUACUAUUACUUACUAUUUUUUUUAAAUGUGGGACGACCAAAAAAGGAAAGAUGAAUUCUAAAAGCUGGGACAGAGGAUAUAUUAUUUUUCUUCUUGGUUCUGAAGUAUGAAUAUUAAUUAACAAUUCUUCGUCCACAUCAAGCUCACCUUCACGUAAUUUUUUCUUGAACAACACCGAAAAAUAUAUAAUCCCAACAUAGCAUGAUCAAUCUCAAUGCACCAAACAUAAAUUAGUUUUAAAAUAAUAAUAAGAUUAACUACUAUAUUGCUGAAUUAUGCAGUAGAAUUAAAAGCGUGAUUUUUUUUUAAUAGAGCAGGUUAAUCUAGGCCUACCUGAACCAUCUGACUAUGCAUGAGUUUGAUUUUUCUUCUUGAUCUUUUUUAAUUUUACCGACAAAGAAGAUUUUCACAAAUGAAAAGAAAACGUUCUAGUAACAUACUACAUGCUUACUUCAGAUUUGCAACCAAGUCUAUUGAGGGUUUUAUUUGCUACAUAUAUAAACACAAGGAUUUGGUUUGAUACAAAUUAAGAAUAUUCAACUUUCAUCGGCUCAAGCACAUAGAAUCUCCCCGAGUAGUUAUAACUGGUCAAUGUUUUUGCCGAUAAAAAGGAAAAGGAAAGAAAAAAGAAAGAAGCAAGACGGAGAAAAAGUUGUAGUAAAUGAUUAUGCGAUGAAAAGAAAAUGGAAAAGAGAAAGAAAGAAGAAAGUUGUAGGAAUUUUGAAGAAUUUGUACUUAUUUAGAAUUGUGGUUAUUGUGGGAUCUUGUAUAAUAAUAAUAAUAAUAAUAAUAAUAAUAAUAAUAAUUAUUGGGCCGUUCCACGAAUCUUGGCACAUUUUCAAAUAAGGUAAUAAUUCAUUCUCUCUCUUACUUUAUCACUUUAAUACUUUAUUAACUACAAACUUAAAACACUAAUAUACAAUUCCUUAAUUCCCGUGUCGAAACCAAACGUGUCAAGAUUCGUUGGAUGGAGGGAGUAAUAAUAAUAAUAAUAAUAAUAGUAAUAAUAAUAAUAAUAAUAAUAAUAAUACAUCAUUGCCCUUUAAAAAGUUUUAAAAUAGGAACAUAAUAUGUAAAUCUAAUUUUGUAAAAGAAGCUCUUCUAUAGUAAUAGUUAUAGAUUUGGUGUGGAGGCAUUUGUUUGAGAAUGGGUAAAACAUACCAUUAACCCUUUGAUAUAUGCACGAGACACUUAUUUGUGGAUAGGACAAGAAUUAUUUUGUUGCAUAGGAUCCCUUCCAAAUGUAAUUACUGAUUCACAAUUGGAUUAACAAGAAUUAACUUACUUCAUAUUCAGUAUUCCAACUGUUCGAUAAAAGUUCUUAAUGAAAUCUUCCAUAGAUUACCCAAAUGCAUUGUUUUGCAUAGUCCGUACAUUGAGAUGGUCGAGUAUCUUAUGUCUAGACUUAACGAGAGCAGACUCGAUCGCUUAGUCCUUAUUUAUUUACGACACACACACAUCUCAAAAUCACACAAAUUGACGAAUAAUGUUGCCAGCCAGCUCCUUCCUGUUCCACGCGCCAGCAUUUGUCUUCACCAUGGUGGCUGUGAAAUACCAUGAGAUAAUAUCAUGUUUGGCGACGUAUGGUUGGUUUAGUCCGCUGGCGGCGGAGAGCCCUACCUGAACCUGCUCAGGAAGAAACUCGCCCAAAUUGUACACAUGGCUGACCUCAAACGUCUUCGAGCCGGCGGUGGCACUGACGGUGAUCAUCUUCGUGGCUCCGACGUAGUUGAUCCGCGCAGUCACCUGCUGUCCGACUAUGGCGUCUCCGACAUUCGUCGUGUUGCUGGAUUCCCUAGAUCCGAGGUCGAUGCCGAUGUGGGGAUAGUUCGGAUCCCACGGGCUGUUGAUGAAGGUGUCGAACUCGACGGCGAAGACCGAGGGGCUAUUGCCGUUGGAGCCGAAAAUUCCGAGGUUGGCCCCAACAGCGCCACUGGGGAUGGUGGAGCCGACGGGGGCAAUGAAGAAAGCGAGGCCGUCAGCGGUUUUGCCAUCGGGGCUGGGUGUGAUGAUGAAGUUAAUGGUGGUUUCAAAGUCGACUUGGCCACCGGAUUGGGAGAACUGGACCGGCUUCGAGUACAAGACCCGGCCGACCUGGUAUGUCUCGAAGUCGGUGAGGCGGAGGAAGGUGGAGUCCGAUGGGAAAUGGGCGUGGCCUUGGUAGGUGAGAUCGGUCGGCUGGUCGCCCCAGAAGUCGUAGGUGAAGGACGUUGUUUGGGACCACACCGUGUUGGCAGCGGCGGCAAGGAGAAGGGCGAUGGAGAUUAGGGUUUGUUGAAGGUUGGCCAUCGCUUAAUUGAUUUGGAUGUGGUGGAUGAUGGUGGUAUCUUUAUCUUGCUUCUAUUUAUAGUAGUAUAACGAGCCCUAGUUAAUUAUCUUUAAAUCAUACUAAAAUAUCAUAAAUUAAAAUUGAAGAAAAAAAAGUUAAAACCUACUCUCGCAGUCCCUCAAAUAACUUCUUAGGAGAAGAGGGGUAGGAGUUUUAAGACGAAGUUAAUGUGCAAAGUAAGGAUAAA
rnacentral:lncRNA from 1 species